ensembl:snoRNA SNORA70 Small nucleolar RNA SNORA70
UUGCAACCAAUUAAGCUGACGGUGCUAUUUUCGCAGGGGAGUGCUGGUGUGCAGUGGCUGCAAACAGCAGGCUCCUGGGUAGUGUAUGAAGCCUGUUGCCCUCAUGGGUUGCCCUAAGGGACCUUGAAGUGAAAG